rnacentral:rRNA from 1 species
UCGAGAAUAUUCCACAAUGGGCGAAAGCCUGAUGGAGCGACGCCGCGUGCAGGAUGAAGCCCUUCGGGGUGUAAACUGCUUUUAUAUGGGAAAAACUUUUGUGAUUGUACUAUGUGAAUAAGGGGCUGCAAACUUCGUGCCAGCAGCCGCGGUAAUACGAAGGCCCCAAGCGUUAUCCGGAUUUAUUGGGCGUAAAGCGUGCGUAGGAGGUUCGGUAAGUUCGUUGUUAAAUUUCACUGCUUAACGGUGGAGCCGCAACGAAUACUGCCAAACUAGAGUGUGCGAGAGGCUAAUAGAACUCACGGUGUAGGGGUGAAAUCCGUUGAUAUCGUGGGGAAUACCAAAGGCGAAGGCAUUUAGCUGGCGCAUUACUGACUCUAAGGCACGAAAGCGUGGGGAGCAAAAAGG